rnacentral:rRNA from 1 species
CCUACGGGAGGCAGCAGUGAGGAAUAUUGGUCAAUGGCCGCAGGGCUGAACCAGCCAAGUCGCGUGAGGGAUGACGGUCCUAUGGAUUGUAAACCUCUUUUGUCAGGGAGCAAAGGGCGCCACGUGUGGCGCUUUGCGAGUACCUGAAGAAAAAGCAUCGGCUAACUCCGUGCCAGCAGCCGCGGUAAUACGGAGGAUGCGAGCGUUAUCCGGGUUUAUUGGGUUUAAAGGGUGCGCAGGCGGAAUGUCAAGUCAGCGGUAAAAUUUCGGGGCUCAACCCCGUCGUGCCGUUGAAACUGGCGUUCUUGAGUGAGCGAGAAGUAUGCGGAAUGCGUGGUGUAGCGGUGAAAUGCAGAGAUAUCACGCAGAACUCCGAUUGCGAAGGCAGCAUACCGGCGCUCAACUGACGCUCAUGCACGAAAGCGUGGGUAUCGAACAGGAUUAGAUACCCCUGUAGUC